GCUGAACGCCGGCGGCGUGCCUAAUUCAUGCAAUUCGAGCGAACGGACUAGAAGCUUGCUCCUCUGAUGUUAGCGGCUUACGGGUGAGUAACACGUGGAUAACCUACCUAUAAGACUGGUAUAACUUCUGGAAACCGUAGCUAAUACCGGAUAAUAUUUUUUACCGCAUGGUUCAAAAGUGACAGACGGUCUUGCUGUCACUUCUACUUGGAUCCGAUCUGCAUUAGCUAGUUGGUAAGGUAACGGCUUACCAAGGCAAGGAUGCAGAGCCGACCUGAGAGGGUGAUCGGCCACACUGGAACAGAGACACGGUCCAGACUCCGACGGGAGGCAGCCGUAGGGAAUCUUCCGCAAUGGGCGAAAGCCUGACGGAGCAACGCCGCGUGAGUGAUGAAGAUCUUCGGAUCGGAAAACUAUGUUAUUAGGGAAGAACAUAUGUGUAAGUAACUGUGCACAUCUUGACGGUACCUAAUCAGAAAGCCACGGCUAACUCCGAG
rnacentral:rRNA from 1 species